rnacentral:rRNA from 1 species
AUUGAAAGCUGGCGGCAGGCCUAACACAUGCAAGUCGAACGAGUGGCGGACGGGUGAGUAAUGUCUGGGAAACUGGCUGAUGGAGGGGGAUAACUACUGGAAACGGUAGCUAAUACCGCAUACUAUAGGAUGUGCCAAGAUGGGAUUAGCUAGUGGUGGGGGUAACGGCUCACCUAGGAGGCGAUCCCGAGCUGGUCUGCGAGGAUGACCAGCAACACUGGACUUGUGAAAGGGUCCCGACUCCUCGGGUAGGCAGCGUGGGGGGAUUUUAAACGACGGGCGGAAGCCUGAUGGAGCAAGCCCGCGUGUGUGAAGAAGGCCUUCGGGGUGUAAAGUACGGUCGGCGGGGAGGCGUUACCCACAGAAGAAACACCGCCUAACUCCGUUCCAGCAGCCGCGGUAAUUC